UGGGGAAUAUUGCGCAAUGGGCGAAAGCCUGACGCAGCGACGCCGCGUGCGGGAUGACGGCCUUCGGGUUGUAAACCGCUGUCGGGAGGGACGAAGCUCUGACGGUACCUCCAAAGGAAGCACCGGCUAACUCUGUGCCAGCAGCCGCGGUAAUACAGAGGGUGCGAGCGUUGUCCGGAAUCACUGGGCGUAAAGGGCGCGUAGGCGGCCUGGUAAGUAGGGGGUGAAAUCCCGUGGCUCAACCGCGGGACGGCCUCCUAGACUGCCGGGCUGGAGCACGGUAGAGGCAGGUGGAAUUCCCGGUGUAGCGGUGGAAUGCGUAGAGAUCGGGAAGAACAUCGGUGGCGAAGGCGGCCUGCUGGACCGUUGCUGACGCUGAGGCGCGACAGCGUGGGGAGCAAACAGG
rnacentral:rRNA from 1 species